rnacentral:sRNA from 1 species
CUGCGUGCUAGUCUGUGUAUGUAUGUAUGUGUCAUCAAUGGGUGUGUAUGACUAUUAGUAUGUGCUAGUGAAUAUAUUUUUCAACGCAAUGUAUUUCGAAAGUUUCUGUUUUGAAUGAAAAAUACAAAACUAACUGUGUGAAUGUUGGACUUAGUUCUAAGGUUCUACCCAAUACACAAGAUAAUUGACGACCAGGAAUAAUUCACUUGAUAGUCCUAAAGACUACAGCGAAGUUUGUUGUGACAUCAAAUAUGGGCUGUAGCACGUCGUCCAAUUCUAAACACAAAUUUGAGAUCAAGAAAUUAUUGGAUUGUGUGAGGU